CAAUACCAGUGGCGAACGGGGUGAGUAACACGUAGGUAACCUGUCUUUAAGCCGAGGAUAACCAUUGGAAACGAUGGAUAAUACUGGAUAGGACAUUUGAAGGCAUCUUUAAUGUUUAAAGAUUUAUCACUUAGAGAGGGGCCUGCGGCGCAUUAGCUAGUUGGUGAGGUGAAGGCUUACCAAGGCGAUGAUGCGUAGCCGGACUGAGAGGUUGAACGGCCACAAUGGAACUGAGAACGGUCCAUACUCCUACGGGAGGCAGCAGUAGGGAAUUUUCGGCAAUGGGCGGAAGCCUGAACCCGAGCAACGCCGCGUGAACGAAGAAGUAUUUCGGUAUGUAAAGUUCUUUUAUUAGGGACGAAAAGACAGAUUGACGGUACCUAAUGAAUAAGCUCCGGCUAACUACGUGCCAGCAGCCGC
rnacentral:rRNA from 1 species